UUUUUUUUUUUUUUUUUUUUUUUUUUUGCGCUCCUUUUU
rnacentral:ribozyme from 1 species